rnacentral:tRNA from 1 species
AGAAACUUAGGUUAACCCGUGACUAAACCAAAGGCCUUCAAAGCCUUGAAUAAGAGUUAGACCCUCUUAGUUUCUG